CUGAAACAUCCGCCAUCGCGGGCGUUCCUGAUCCGGUAAAAUCGUACGCAGUGUCCGCAUUGUCAUUCUUGGUCCGACCAAUUAUACCUAGAUGGACACAUGCGCGUGGAGAGGUGGUCGGUCGCAAAUGCAUGGACGUUCGAAACAGUAACGGACAAAUUACAACGUUGAGGAAACAGGUUGCUCGGGUAAAAAUCAAAUCGGCGUGGCAAAUCGAAAAGGAAAGAUUUCCGAAGAAAAGGAACACGCUCAACCUGGAAUACUAAAAUAUAUGCACUGAGAACGAUCUUCCCGAAUAUAGUGAUCCGCUGUCGGUUGCAUCAUAAACUGCCCCAACAGUCCACGCGCCAAGAGGAACCAUUCGUUGCAUCGCGAGUUAGCUGUAAAAAUGGUGACGUAACGACGCCGGAGGGAAAGACUGGUGCGCAGUGCCCGUGUCGUUCCAGUCACGGUUCGGUGAAACAUUCGAUUUGACCGAUUCGACCAAAUCAAUGAAAGAAUACAGUAAAUUCUCCCCGAUUUUCCUUCGGCUUGUGAAGAAGAGAAUGGAGAAUUUGUAAAGAGGAGAUACGAUUGUUCCAGCCUUGCGCCUCGCUUUUAUAAUUAUUGACAAUCGACAACUGUAAAAAUGGAAAAUUAGAGAGAAUUUUCUGCACUUGGUCGCUUAGCAAACGGCGCGAUAGCGUGCUUCAGCCCUUAUCGUUGCGACGGAGAAUUGUUUGACGACGAGCGAAUCCGUCGCUUAUGGAUCCGAUGGAUCGUUCCCGGAACUGUGCAGAGAAGACCGAUAAGAUCUCAAUCGAGGCGUAAACGCUCGGAUUGGUGCUUACCUCGUUUGGCCGGGCUGGGAGUCGAGUUCAUCCUGUGGGUCCGAUUUUCGCGGUGCUCCUCGGUCCUAGGUGGCCUCGGGGAGGGCACGAGCAGCGGCACCGUGGCACACUUUUCCUCGUGCGUGAUCACUGUCGCGAGAUCCGAGCCGAACUCGUUCCCGGCGUUCGCGUUGCGGACCAAGCUGGGACUGGUCGCCGAAGCCACGUGAACGAAGUUCGUCGGCGACGAGAUCUUCAGGUACCUGAGCUCCACCCUGGACAGGCUCUUCGACCUGAGCCUGGUGUCGACGGUGACGGGGGCGCCGGUGCCCGGGUCCAGGCUGGUCUGCUUCAGUGAGCUCAGCGACGAGCUGAGGCUGGCGAUCUUCUUCCUCUUGGCCCUCUUGGACCCCUUGGACGCCAGGUAAUCCGGCACCAGGUGCAGCACGUUCCUCGUGAACCGCUUCUUCUUCUUCUUCUCGCCGGCGUUCCUCUCCUCUUCGAUUCUGCUUUUCAGCUCUCGCACGACCACGUCCGGGAACAUCGAUUUCACGACCACGUCCUCAUCCAGGCUGACCUCGGAGCUCUCCUCGACCUUCUCCGAAACUUUGUCCUCCGUGUCCCGGGACGUUUCCUCGACGCGAGACGGCAGCUCGAUCUUCUCGUAGUCGCUGGAGCUCGACCUGCUUCUGCUCUCCUGCCCCGAAGACUGUCCUGCGUGCUCGGUUUCCACAACAUUUGUCCCAGAGUUAUUAUCGUUGUUAUCGUUAUCGAGGGGUCGAUUCCAGGCAAUCUUCUGCUCGGCGGCUCGUCCGACGAUAAAGUCUGGCCUCGCAUCGGCCGUCCUCGAUUGCUUUUCCGUCGACGGUUCCGGCUCCGUUGUCCUUGAUCCUGAGCCCGUCGCAUCCUGCUCUUCUGCCUAGAGGAGGACACGCCGCAAUUUAUCAUCUUUGUCGAUCGAGUGGAUCAUCGACAACAUAAACAACGAGUCGCGAGGCUCGCAUAAUCGUGUCGCCCCUUUCCAUGUUGUUCAUUUUUGUGCGCAAUCUGAGCGUCAAUUAGGGAGGAUUUACUGUAAAGCACUUCGCCGUAAGAAGCGUUAACGAGUAAUAGAUGAACGUCGUUGACAGUUGACGGAUGUCUUUAGACGUCCUGAUUAUUUGUGCAAUCUGAGCUAUCGAUUUACGUUAUCGCACGAUACGCUCUCAGAACGGUGACGUGAAACUUCAACUCCUCGCCGUGAUUUAUAUUUUAUUCGCUGUUGCAGUUAUUGCAACAUCUUUGAUUGUGAUCAUUUCGAUGAUAAAUGGGAUACGGCUGACAGAAAAUUCAAGAGAAUUUGCUGCAUCGGCGUGCCUGCAUUUAGUUGAAUGAAAUAUUGACGACAAGAGGACAGAAUUUGAUUCCAAUUUAAAAGAACAGAAUAACGUUCGCAACAACCCCCUUGCACUCGAGCGGUGACCCUGAGCUUCAAAAUGAUUUCAGGUACUGUCAAGUUUAUUUACAUCUAAAAACAAAACUACUAAAAAUAUAGCUAUCCUUACGAAUCACGAGACUCGGUUUCGCGUGGCACAGAAACGCGUGUGAACGGUGCGCUGUUGCUAGAAAAUCUCCGUGGUGAGUCAGGCACGCCGAGGUACGGCGAGGGAUUAAGCAACGCGUUCUUCUGGACUGGCUCAUAGCGUCCAGAAGAAAUGAUCUCGCGGAGAUGCCACGGACGAGCUUAGGCGUGCGCGAUCCUCGGACAGCUGUGUGAAACACGCGAUCAAUGAUCGUCGUUCCAUCUCCCAGGUCAUUCAGAGGCGAGCAUGCCGGAGAAAGAGAUCAGCACGCGGCCGCCGCCGCCGCCGCUGCAGUUGGCACGCGAAGAGAAAGGAAACGCGUUGACGUUCUUCGACAUUCCUGCCGUUUCGCAAAUGUUCUAACAUUGAAUUUUUAGAAAGCAAAACGUCGAGCCGCGUUCCAGCGCAUCGACGAGACCGACCAGUUCGGAAAGACGCCUCGACGAUAGCAGGGCGUCGCAUCAGCGCGUGGUCUACUUUCCCGACGCAAAUCAAGCAUCAAUCUCUACGAUCGUUUAUCGUCGCGCAGCCUAACGGGAUCGAUUCGAAAGGAUUCCCGCGGAAAGAGCGCCGAUCACGUUUCGCAGACUACAGAGGAUCUGAACUCGCGGCGACCUUCGGGAGAAUUCGCAUGCCGGUCACGCGCCGCGCGAAACUGUUCUCCGGGAGAGCCGCGCGCGCGCGCGCGGUCGUCGGGGAUGCGAAAAAGGAGUUUUACGAACCUCGCGAUCCAAGUACUCGGACGACGUUUCUUCGAUAGCAUCUAGAUUGGUCGCGUCGUUCCUCUCUGCGGCGGCGAUCGGCAACAGCUGCAGAGGCAGCCUGGCUCUCUUCAGCGCCAAACUGUCGAGGGUCGCGUAGACCGUCUUCUCCGACGGCGAGAAUGAUCUCCGGUCGCCGUGGAGGAAGCUCCUGUUCGCUGUUGGCAGCAGGCUCAUCCUCGUUCGUCGAUGCUAUCACCUCGGUCAAAAUCUCACGGCGGGAGAUUCGUCGAAGCGGAUCAUUGCCACGGUGUCUCCGCGCGCGACCGGCGUCUCCGCUGCGAACCAUAAAGCUCAGCGCAUCGUCGGCCGAUUUCCCUUGGCUCGGCUCCGCUCGGCUCGGCGGCUCUGCCAACAAAAAGGAAUUCGAGCCGUAUAACACGGUGAACGGAAUUCCGGCGAAACAGCGAUAACGCGAACGUGCGCCGUUAUCGGUGCACCGCCGCGCCGUGCACGCGCGAGCCGCCGCGGCCGAACGAGUUUCGGACACGCGUUUAUUUGUUUUCACGGCGCGAUAAUUGCGCGCCGUUUUAACGCGCCGCGUCCGCGAUAAUCGACGGUACAGCGGUACACCGAGACGACGAGUUUCUCUCCGAUCCUCCUCGACGACCACGCAGAUCAAUUCGCCGAUUCCUCGAAGGCGUACGCGACGCGCCGAGUCCCGGAGACGCGCGCGUUAUUCGUUGAACGGUUCGUCGAUCGAUCGAGGACUGUUCGAGGACUGCGAUGUACGCGAGGAUCGAUUGCUACGGUUCGACCGUCUUCUGCCAAGGGAGGGACGGCCGACCACGAAAACCCGCCACCGCGAUAAGAAACGUCAGCGAUGAUAUUGUUUAAUUCGACGCGUGCGCUUCCGACUGUUUGCGUCGCGUCAGCAGAACACGCGGAAAAGCCGACGUCGCACCUCUUGCUCGGCAGAAUUCCUGAAUCGGUUCCCGAUCGUCCCACGUUGCGACGCUUGUCGAGCACGCGACACGUCCUCCUCGCAACUCGCGAGUUGUGAAAGCGGACAAUCGUGCCCCGUCCAGCCGAAUUACAGCAACGAGGCCCGUUGCGUUCCGUCGACGGCAAUGCGACGCGGCUUCUCCUAGGCUGCAAAAUAUUUCUGCUUCCCGUCGCGAACUUUUCUCUUCCUUGUAUUCCGUUGCUCGGGCCCGUCCUUGGCAAAUUUUCCGCGAUCUUCCGCGAGGACCGAUCGAUCGUCACUGCACUCGCGUCGCGCCAAACGCCAGCGUGUUUUCACGAGCGUCGCACAUUUGGUAUACACGCGUCCGUUAGAUCGUCUCUGGCGGCCCGCCGCGGGAUCGGCGGAGGAUCGGCGAUCGGCGAUCGAGUGACAAAUCGCUCGCGCUCGCUGGAUUUUUCGAGCGGUUGUGCUCCCGCGGUUCGCGAUCGGCCUUCUUCGCCGGUUCUCGCCGCUUCUCGCCGCCGAGAGGCCGGGAUACCACUCUUCUGUUCCUCGAAUCGCACGCCCUUCCUUUCUUUUCGUUCUCUCUCUCUUUCUCUUUCUAUCUCUCUCUCUCUCUCUCUCGCUCGCUCCCUCUCUCUUUCUCUCACUCUCCGUCUCUUUUCUUCUUCUUUUCUUCGCGGUCUCACCCGCGGCCGCUUUCCAACCGCUCCGGAAAAACCGGGCGGGCUCCGCACGCUCGCGAAUCGCGAUUCGCAAUCCGCGCUAGUCGCGCGCGACGCGUCCACGAGCUUCGGAUCCCUCGACCACGCGAUUCCGCAUUCUUCCGUGGAUUUCACCUGGCCGGGCUUUCUCGGCCGCUGCCCUUGCCGACGUAACAGCCCGUCGGAAGGCGUUGCGGCUCGUCGAAAAUGUGGCAAUAAACGCCGAAAACGAAAGAGCCCGCGGCCGAAUACCGUAAACGAAAGACGCUCGACCGUUCAAAUGCUGUAAUCGUAGACGAUUUAUAAGAUCCGCGGGUAGCCUUUCGACCGGAAACAAUUGCUCUUUAUAUUAUUCUACUGGAAUAAAAUUUUUCCUUUUUGUAAUUACAGAUUCAAAUGAUUCCGUCUUUUCCUUCGUCGAGCUCGUUUAUUCCGAUCGCAAGAUAUCUGCUGUAUCUCGCAUGGAAUUAUAUUAUUAUUAAUGUAAUAUUAAUUAAUAUAUUAUAUUAUAUAUUAUACUAUAUUUUAUUAUAUUGUAUAGUAUCAUAUAUUGUAUAUUACUCUAUACGAAUUGUUUGAACUGUAACGUGCUUCGCCGAAUAGUUGAUAAUUUUGUAACAUCGCCGUAACGCGCAGAUGAUACGGAACAUAUUAACAUGGAACGGCAAUUUAUGUUAA